rnacentral:tRNA from 1 species
GCAUCUUUAGCUCAGUUGGUAGAGCAACUGACUCUUAAUCAGUGGGUCCAGGGUUCGAGUCCCUGAAGAUGCA